GAGUUUGAUCGUGGCUCAGGAUGAACGCUGGCGGCGUGCCUAAUACAUGCAAGUCGAGCGAACGGACGAGAAGCUUGCUUCUCUGAUGUUAGCGGCGGACGGGUGAGUAACACGUGGAUAACCUACCUAUAAGACUGGGAUAACUUCGGGAAACCGGAGCUAAUACCGGAUAAUAUUUUGAACCGCAUGGUUCAAAAGUGAAAGACGGUCUUGCUGUCACUUAUAGAUGGAUCCGCGCUGCAUUAGCUAGUUGGUAAAGUACGGCUUACCAAGGCAACGAUGCAUAGCCGACCUGAGAGGGUGAUCGGCCACACUGGAACUGAGACACGGUCCAGACUCCUACGGGAGGCAGCAGUAGGGAUCUUCGCAAUGGGCGAAAGCCUGACGGAGCAACGCCGCGUGAGUGAUGAAGGUCUUCGGAUCGUAAAACUCUGUUAUUA
rnacentral:rRNA from 1 species